rnacentral:rRNA from 1 species
AAUGAACGUUGGCGGCGUGGAUUAGGCAUGCAAGUCGUGCGGAAAGGCCCCGCAAGGGGUACUCGAGCGGCGAAAGGGAUGGUAAUGCGUAGAUCACCUACCCCUGGGACCCGGAUAGCUGCGGGAAACUGCAAUUAAUACGGGAUGACGUCUGCGGACCAAAGGUGUAAUUCCGCCCGGGGAUGGGUCUGCGUCCUAUUAGCUUGUUGGUGAGGUAACGGCGCACCAAGGCGACGAUGGGUAGCGGGUGUGAGAGCACGACCCGCAUCACUGGGACUGAGACACGGCCCAGACCCCUACGGGUGGCUGCAGUCGAGGAUCUUCGGCAAUGGGCGAAAGCCUGACCGAGCGACGCCGCGUGGGGGAUGAAGGCCCUCGGGUUGUAAACCACUGUCGGAGGGGAGGAAAUGCUGGGGGGAUCACCCCUCAGCUUGACCUAUCCUCGAAGGAAGGACGGGCUAAGUUCGUGCCAGCCGCCGCCGUAA